rnacentral:lncRNA from 1 species
AUGUAUAAAAAACAGCCCCAAACAACCGCAACUCGUGUGUGUUCCAAAUGGACCCACGGUUAUGUUUUUUAGUCCAUUUUAUUUAAUAUUACAAGUAAUAUUUUAAUUUUAUUGUUUAGGGUUUAUUUCCAACAAACAGACAAAAACCGUCCCCACUGCACAAUGACCAUAUUACCCUCGCUUCAAUAAUUGUCGAUCCUUCCAGAUCAUCAUCACCACCACCCUUGGAAUUCAGCCAUUUGUCACUCAUCUAAAGCAACUCGGCAAAAAAUAAUAUUAAAAAAAUAAAACUUACCGGAGAAUGGAGAGACCGGAGUAGUAGAUCCGGCGGGUGACGCCGGAGGCGUUUCGCUAAGACUCCUCUCCGGUUUGACGAUCAUAAUACUUCGUGUUACUCUGGUUGCAGGAUGCUCUGCUCCUCCCGUAGUCCCGCCCGUUUCAGAUUCUGUUUCACAAAACAAUUCUUUAUAUAUGUUUUUAAUUCUUUCAAUUUUAAAAAACCCUAGCUAGCUUCAAGGAUCUAACAACCUAUUAAAUCGAUCGACACAACUGCUGUUCCUUGUCAAUAACGAUCAUCAAAGUGUUUAUAGCUUAUUCGUUACACGGUCAAAAGUUCCAGUCCUAUAUCAGUGUAGUAGAUUUAAUUAAAAGCAGCUUUCCGAGACCUUUAUCUGGUGGAGGACCGGCGAUGGUGUCGUCCCAGAGUUUGUUGAGUAAGCUCAUGGCUCAGUAGUCAGUCAGUCAAGCGCACGAUUACGAAUAACAGACAUCACUGACUUAUUAUUUAUGGAAAUAUCGAGGUGAAAAAGAUCAUCCUGCAACUUGUUUCGAAUGAGGGUCGUUGAUCUUGGAUCGGGGUAAUUAUGUGAUGGAUGGACGGCGGAUCUUUUAGCACGUAGAUAAGACCAAUGGUGACGAAGCAAAAAUUUAGAUUAGGUUGUCACGUGUACUAUGUGGGUCCCUUCACGUGAUGGCUGCCUCGUUUCUCUAGAACUACGUUUUUUGAGUGACCCAUACCUUAAAAUACAACUAUAUCAUUUUCUUUUUUGCCUAUAAAAACAUUGAUGUUUAGGGAGAAGUAAAUAUGAAAAUUAAUUAGAU